CAGUCGCCGCGGGAAUACGUAGGUGGCAAGCGUUGUCCGGAAUUAUUGGGCGUAAAGGGCUCGCAGGCGGUUUCUUAAGUCUGAUGUGAAAGCCCCCGGCUCAACCGGGGAGGGUCAUUGGAAACUGGGAAACUUGAGUGCAGAAGAGGAGAGUGGAAUUCCACGCGUAGCGGUGAAAUGCGUAGAGAUGUGGAGGAACACCAGUGGCGAAGGCGACUCUCUGGUCUGUAACUGACGCUGAGGAGCGAAAGCGUGGGGAGCGAACAGGAUUAGAUACCCCCGUAGUCCCUGUCUCUUUACC
rnacentral:rRNA from 1 species